GCGGAAGUAGCUCAGCUGGUAGAGCAUCAGCCUUCCAAGCUGAGGGUCGCGGGUUCGAAUCUCGUCUUCCGCUCUA
rnacentral:tRNA from 1 species